GAAGUGCCAACUCACCACAACAUCAACAUUUUUUGAGAACCAUUCAAACACGGCUUUAUCUUCAUUAUUUAAACACGACUUUCCAAACUAAAACACCAAAUCUUCAAAGCGUAAAAUCCAUUUAUCCCAAAUAACUUCCUCUCUCACCCGAUCUUUUACGAACCCUAAUCACCAAAUCUAAUUCAUUAGUAAACGAAGUUGCAAUCCACCAUUGUUGAAGGCUUGCAAAAGCUACAAAUGAAAAUUCAGUCUGCCAUUGUUGAGCAUCCAUCGGUUUCAAAUCAUGUUCCAACUGAUAAUGUUAACUUCGACGAAAUCGUGGACGAAUUGCAUGACAUAAAUGAGUCAAAAUUUGCCAAUUACAUUUUUAUGGCCUUGCUGAUUUUGGUUUCUGGGAAAUAUGUGCUGGAAAUCACGCACUUGUGUAGUUAUGGUCCCUAUUUUGUUAACCCUCAUCCUAGACAUUUGAUGGACGGUUUAUGGGUAUUUAUGGCUUUUUAGGUUAAUGAAUUUGUAAGUAAUUGUAGUUGCUUUUGCACGUACCCACAAAAGGUUGGGGAUUUGAUGCGUAAUUUGGUAGUUGCUUUUGUAAGUACAAGGAGUUCAUGUUCAGGAACGUUUGCAGGUUUUACUGAAUUUUUAGUUCUUUCAGUGGUGUUUUUUGUUGAAUUGGACCAUUUUGUCAAUUAAUUAAGUAAUCAAAAUGCCUAUAGCCAGAAUUUAUCAGCUAUAUUUUGCUGUCUUGUGUAUGUUUGUUCGUCACGCAUUCCCUG
rnacentral:lncRNA from 1 species